AUGACUAGCGCAGGAGUUGCUGGGAUGAUGUUUCAGUGUGUGUUUGAAGGAAGCCUGUCGAUGAGGGACACUGAAAUUGAGCGAAGGCCUUACCAUAAGAACUGCAGUUGUGCUCUGCACAAGUCCAAGGGGGGUGCUUGCUCCAAUGCUUGUCAAAGGAACAUUUCCUUUCCCAAGAAACAUUCAUGGAGUGAUGGUUCCUUGUGCAUGCAGGCAACAGCUUCUUCCAAAUUCUCUUCUUCUCUCAUAGACAACAUCUCCCUGUCCACUUCCACAUCCACAGGAAACAGAGGAAGUGUCAGUGGUGUUCAAAAUCCGGCCUCAUCACAUAGACAAUAG
rnacentral:lncRNA from 1 species